GUGUCAUUAAAUAUUGCUGCCGCAGGGGUGGGUGGCACACGAGGGCUAGGACAAGGCAGCAGCUUUAUUCGGAAAGUCUGGCAGUCCUCUGACAAAGGCUCCUGAUCUGAAAGGAAGUGGUGUCACCAAAGGGCAGAUCUGCAGUUUUCUUCAACGAGCUAGGAGGGAAAUGGGGACGAAACUCAUCGUAUCUGUCCCCAGAAGAGCCAAACGUGCAUUGAAGCCGGUGCUGCAGAGAGAGGAAGACUGAGCACUUUAGUGUCUAAGCUCCUGUUAUAACAGGCUCUAUCCACCACUGCAUGCUGGAGUGAACAACAUAACAGUGAGAGAGAGAACUGCUACCUACCGUGCAGACACUUGGAGAGCCCUGUUUCCUGGUUGGACCCUGACUGACACAAUGAUGUUGGAAAGAAGAGGAGAACCAGUGGCACAAAACAAUGUCCUCCGACAAUUCUCACCUCCUGGUACUUGUGUACCCGCCUCCCUUUGAGUGGGGGCUGGCCUGGCAACUUGCUUCUAACUAACAGAAUAUGGCAAAAGUGACAGGAUGCCUUCUGUGAUGAGGCUACGAAAGAUGGGAUUUCUGUCUUGCUAGAAGAUUCUCUUGCUGGCUUUGAUGGAGUAAACGUCCAUGUCGCGAGCUGCCCCGUUGGAAAGGGCCUGUG
rnacentral:lncRNA from 1 species